CGUGCGACAGCCUCGCCGGCGUUCACGGUUGGUACGACGUAAUCGGCUACAUUCCUAGCACGACGUCGUUGCGACGAGUGGUUUGGCAGCUGCUCAAGAUCAACCAGAAUGCCAACCACCGGAAGACUACAGAGCGCAUGAUUCCGAUUGUACCCGGUUCACUCGGUGCGACCACGGAGUCAGAAUUGAAUACGCAUGCGCAGAAGGGUUUGUCUGGGAGCCACGUGGCCGGUUCUGUCGUCAGCCAAUCACUGAUAAUUUGCUGGAUGACCCCACCUGUCAGUGGUAAUAGGAACUAGAUUUGUGAUGCCGUUACUGAAUGUUAAAUCUUCAGGAGCAGUUUUCUUGGGAAACCAGAUGUCGUUGUGUGUGACAGAGUCGACCUAUAAUUCAUUCAAAUGUCUGCUAAUCGGCUUGUAUAUUAUGGUACUAUAGUAUAUAAAUAAAUUUAC